CCUACGGGAGGCAGCAGUGGGGAAUAUUGGACAAUGGGGGCAACCCUGAUCCAGCCAUGCCGCGUGUGUGAAGAGGGCCCUCGGGUUGUAAAGCACUUUCAGUGAGGAAGAACGCCUGGUGGUUAAUACCCAUCAGGAAAGACAUCACUCACAGAAGAAGCACCGGCUAACUCCGUGCCAGCAGCCGCGGUAAUACGGAGGGUGCGAGCGUUAAUCGGAAUUACUGGGCGUAAAGCGCGCGUAGGUGGCUUGAUAAGCCGGUUGUGAAAGCCCCGGGCUCAACCUGGGAACGGCAUCCGGAACUGUCAAGCUAGAGUGCAGGAGAGGAAGGUAGAAUUCCCGGUGUAGCGGUGAAAUGCGUAGAGAUCGGGAGGAAUACCAGUGGCGAAGGCGGCCUUCUGGACUGACACUGACACUGAGGUGCGAAAGCGUGGGUAGCAAACAGGAUUAGAUACCCGAGUAGUC
rnacentral:rRNA from 1 species